UACGAAGGGGGGCUAGCGUUGCUCGGAAUCACUGGGCGUAAAGGGUGCGUAGGCGGGUUCUUAAGUCAGAGGUGAAAUCCUGGAGCUCAACUCCAGAACUGCCUUUGAUACUGAGAGUCUUGAGUUCGGGAGAGGUGAGUGGAACUGCGAGUGUAGAGGUGAAAUUCGUAGAUAUUCGCAAGAACACCAGUGGCGAAGGCGGCUCACUGGCCCGAUACUGACGCUGAGGCACGAAAGCGUGGGGGAGCAAACAGG
rnacentral:rRNA from 1 species